GAUGAACGCUGGCGGCGUGCUUAACACAUGCAAGUCGAACGGAAAGGCUCCUGCUUGCAGGGGUACUCGAGUGGCGAACGGGUGAGUAACACGUGGGUGAUCUGCCCUGCACUUCGGGAUAAGCCUGGGAAACUGGGUCUAAUACCGGAUAGGACGAUGGUUUGGAUGCCAUUGUGGAAAGUUUUUUCGGUGUGGGAUGAGCUCGCGGCCUAUCAGCUUGUUGGUGGGGUAAUGGCCUACCAAGGCGUCGACGGGUAGCCGGCCUGAGAGGGUGUACGGCCACAUUGGGACUGAGAGACGGCCCAGACUCCUACGGGAGGCAGCAGUGGGGAAUAUUGCACAAUGGGCGCAAGCCUGAUGCAGCGACGCCGCGUGGGGGAUGACGGCCUUCGGGUUGUAAACUCCUUUCGCUAGGGACGAAGCGCAAGUGACGGUACCUGGAGAAGAAGCACCGGCUAACUACGUG
rnacentral:rRNA from 1 species